UCUUGGUUUGAUCCAUUAUCUAUUAGUGUUUUAACCCUGGUUUGAUCCAUUAUCUAUCUCAUUGAUCUUUCAGCCUUGGUGUUGUGAAUUUACACUGAUGUUUUAGCCACAGUUUGAUCCAGUAUGAACUGGUAUUUAAGACCUGGUCUGAUCCAAUAUUCCCAUUAUUAUUUUUUAUAUUUUUAUUAGCUAUAGUUUUCCACGAGACUCACUGAUGUUCAGCUGCCCUGUGACAUUCCUUUGGUCCAUUAUUCCCUGAUGUUCAAACUAUUUCAUGGCCUAAUAUUCGUUUGUAUUUCUGUCCUGGUUUGGAAAAAUACUCUGGUUUGUUUUAUCCCAACACAUUGUGGUAUUGCAGUCUCGGUUUGAUUUACUGUAUUUACUGUAUUGACUGAUGUUUUUCUUUGGAUUCCAGAAUCCACUGGUAUUUCAAAGCUGCUUUGGUGCAGAUUUUUGGUAUUUAAACCCAGGUGUUAUUUAUUCUGUCCUUCAGAUCUCCAGAUCUACUGUACUGACGUUCAUCCAGAGGAGCUUGUCCUUGAUGUGCAGCGUCUCCGCUGGGCCUCGCUUCCCCCCAGACGCUGCUCUGUUUCUGGGAUGAGGCGCUGACCUCCGACCCUCCUCUCAGCUGCUUGUGAGAGCUGACAGGAACCACCGGGCUGCUCGGCUCCUGGGGGAGGAGGAGGAGGAGGAGGAGGAGGAGGAGGAGGAGGAGGAGGAGAUAUCUCCCUCUCCCCUCAGGGCUGAGCAGAGAUUCAGUCUGAACUCUGGAUGUGUCUGGUCAGAUCGCAGCGCUUCUGCAGCCGAGCGGCGAGUUGCUGCUGCGAGCGACGAACCGAUCGUUCAUCAUAAUUAGAUGAUAAAUGUAUGUUUAAAUAAAUAAAGUCAUGAUUAUUAACUUGUUGGUUUCACCUGCCAGCAGCUGAAACAGGCCGACGCCGCUGCCAAGAGCAGCAGCAGCCAGAUCCACUUUCCUCCUCAGGUUCCUCAGGUCUGUGAUCAGACGGAGACGUUUCCUUCAGAUGUGUGGAGCUGUGAUUCAUUACAGGAGAAUGAGCGAGGAGCGUUUUGACUCAAUUAAUCUAAUGGAAACAUCAAAAUGUUCUCAAACGCUAUUUUGGUAUUUGAUCUUUUGUCGGUGUCGAUAAUAAAUAUAUCUUUUGACAUUUUAAUCAAAACCGGUUCUGCUGUUGGGCCACGGGCAUAAAUCAGAACCGCUGAGCUGAUUAUUAACAGGAGCAAGACGUUAAGGACUUUCACUUCAAUCACAUGCAACAUGGCGGCUCUGAAGGAGCUGGUUCCUUGUGACCACAGAACUCGCUUCCCUCUCGCUCGUCUCUCCUCCGCGUGGUGAGCGCAGCCUCCUCCAGUUGAACUCAUCGCCUCGCUCCUUCGCCCGCCGAGGCUGCACAAACAAGCGGCGCCCUCCAAACCCUCCGAACCGCUCCGCCGCUGCUCCUCGCCACGACGUGACGCGGCUCGCCGUCCUGAGGGGAGGAGGAGGAGAAAAGAAAAGAAAGUCACCGAUCACAUCAAACACAACAACGGACAAAACAACUCAAGACGACUCUUUGGUUUCCCCAUCGGGCUCGACGGCGUGCUGACGCCGGACGCCACCUCGCCGCGUGUGUUCCUCCGUGAGCAGACGCCUCCCAGACAAACAGAAGACGGAGAUCCAGGAUUGUGCGUCUGACUCGUUUCAUUCCUCUGUCGACACGAAGACGCGCCAGCGUCAGAUGAAUAUUUCAAGCUUCACAAAAUCUGUAAAUUGGCAGUUUUAUCUUCUCGUCUUAGCGGCUGUUGUUUUUUUUUGGGGAGAAUAAACAGAUCAGGAGUUUGAAUUCAGA